UUGGAAUUAGCCGAUUUUUCACAAUUUUCUUCACAUGUGGGUAUGCUUUUGCGAAAGUUCAAAUGCCUAUAUUAUUUUGUGACAUUAUAUUACUUAUUUUUCAAAGGAGAUGAUGAUAAUAAUGAUGUAUCGGUUGAUUGCUGAUGCGAGAGAAUGAAUGUUUACUCUGAUUGGCCUCUCACAAACUUUCCGAAAUCAAAGAACACAUUUCUGCAAAAUAAAAAUAAAGUGAAGCGAAAAGAGAGCUUUGAUCUUGAUUUUCUCUUGAGUAUUAACAAUCUCUCUUUUCUGCCGAAAGAUAAACCGGAAUUAUUACAACAUCGUUUUCGUCUUACUUAGGUAAUGAUUGUUUCAGUAGUUUUUAGUUUUAGUUUUUGGGUUUUAGAUUUUAAUUUUUGGUUUUUAGUUUUUAGUUUUUAGAUUUUGGUUUUUGGUUUUCAGUUUUUGAUUUUUGAUUUUUAGUUUUUAGAUAGAUUUGGUUUUUGGUUUUGUUGUAUAUUUUUUUAUUUUCAAAAAUGAAUUAAUACAUUACUUUAAAAUAAGACAACAAAAUAGCAAUAAAUAUUUAUAUUUUAUAAUCAAAUAUAUCAAAAUUCUAUGAUUAUCAUUUUAAAAUAAAAUAUAAUAACAUAUUUUAAUUAUUAAAUUUUCUUUAAAAAUAUAUUACAGUAAAAUACAAAUCGUAAAAUAUA
rnacentral:lncRNA from 1 species